AGAGUUACUAUACACAUGUUGUCACCCCUCCACCAUUGAUAGGAAGGAAGGGGGAAGGGGGGUUUGACCUCAUUCUCAGGGUCUGUGGGGUGCCCAGAGGUUGGACUCCCAUAAUCUAUUCCAUUCCAUUACAAACCCUAGCGUUGAGAGAACCCGA